AGGGCAUGCAUGAGGUUAUGAAUACAGAAGACAACAAUGAACAUAAAGCCUUGGUAGAAAAAAGAAAAAACAAAAGUUGAACUCAGUGUGCAUCUGUGUUAUAAGCCAAAGAAGCAUGUAAACCAAGAACACCGAUGAAAUCAAUGUGAUUGGAAAUCUAAGAAGAUAAAAGGCCAGACUCAGUGCAAGCAGAAACAAGAAUCUAUGAUUCCUACAAAGAAAUAAGCAAGCUGAUUCCUAACUUCCCAGCAGGGAAAUCUGCAAAGCAUUGAUGUAUAGAACCAGAGUCCUCAAAGACCCAG
rnacentral:lncRNA from 10 species